rnacentral:tRNA from 1 species
GCCUUUGUGGUGUAAUGGUAGCAUACUCGGCAUGUAUUUGAGAGGUCCAGGUUCGAAUCCUGGAGAGGACA